rnacentral:rRNA from 1 species
AUUGAACGCUGGCGGCAGGCUUAACACAUGCAAGUCGAGCGGAGAUGAGGUGCUUGCACCUUAUCUUAGCGGCGGACGGGUGAGUAAUGCUUAGGAAUCUGCCUAUUAGUGGGGGACAACAUUCCGAAAGGAAUGCUAAUACCGCAUACGUCCUACGGGAGAAGGCAGGGGAUCUUCGGACCUUGCGCUAAUAGAUGAGCCUAAGUCGGAUUAGCUAGUUGGUGGGGUAAAGGCCUACCAAGGCGACGAUCUGUAGCGGGUCUGAGAGGAUGAUCCGCCACACUGGGACUGAGACACGGCCCAGAAGCCUACGGGAGGCAGCAGUGGGGAAUAUUGGACAAUGGGCGAAAGCCUGAUCCAGCCAUGCCGCGUGUGUGAAGAAGGCCUUUUGGUUGUAAAGCACUUUAAGCGAGGAGGAGGCUACCGAGAUUAAUACUCUUGGAUAGUGGACGUUACUCGCAGAAUAAGCACCGGCUAACUCUGUGCCAGCAGCAGCCGCGGUAA